rfam:Coxiellaceae bacterium HT99 HT99x_contig000013, whole genome shotgun sequence.
CGUCGGUCCCUCCGCAAUGAUACACUAUGAACCCCGCCAGGCCCGGAAGGGAGCAACGGUAGUAGUGGACUCAUGUGCCGGAGUGUGGCUGACGAGG